rnacentral:lncRNA from 1 species
CACCGUCUCUACAGCAACGCCUUAGCCAGAGGGUGCUCAGGUUUUCGGGACCGCGCGUGGCGCUCUCAGAUGACGUCACACACCCGCGGCGCUUGCGUGACGUAAGCCCUGCUCAGUAAGAAGGCUCCGCAGGUCGGCAGAGAACACCACCACUAAUGGGAAGACUGCCCCCUGACCGGCACAUGGCCUCAGCAUUCAUCCACAGAUGCUCCUCAAAUUGUUUUAAAAACAGCUUUUUUUAAAAGCUGUUUGUCUAUGAAGAUUAAAUGAGUUAAUAAUAUAAGCAAAGCACUUUGCAUGGCUACUGGGCACGGUGGUUCAUGCCUGUAAUUCCAGCACUUUGGGAGGCCGAAGCAGGUGGAUCACCUGAGGUCAGGAGUUCAAGACCAGCCUGAUCAACAUGGCGAAACCCUGUCUCUAUUAAAAAUACAAAAAAAAUAGCCGGGCAUGGUGGCACGUGCCUGUAAUCCCAGCUACUUGGGAGGCUAAGGCAGGAGAAUCGCUUGAACCUGGGAGGCAGAGGUUGCAGUGAGCCGAGACCUCGCCGUUGCACUCCAGCCUGGUUGACAGAGCAAGACUCUGUCUCAAAAAACAAAAAAACCCCAGCUUUUGUCCAGAGGUUGCUUUUUGUGGGUCUGUACGCUGAGGCCAAGUUCUAUGUAAGCAGAGCCCUCCCACCUCACCUCCAAACAAUGCCUCUAAACCAUCACAAUCUGAAAGGAAAAUAAAUCCCUUUCUUCAAUGGUGACCUGAAGCUAGCCAAGGACCGGGUGCUGGCAGGUGGCCUGCGAGACUGGGUCGGAUCCCGGGUUACUGUCUGAGGAGGGAUGCCGUGCUGUAAGGGUUGGGGAGCCAGUGUCUGGCUUCCUUGUCACCACAAGACCUGUGGUUUCCAGCUCUGUCUGCAUCCAGGUCCCACUAACCAACAGCAGGAGAGAAAACAGUUGUGCACACAGGCGGACGCGCACACGCGCACCUGGCCCCCCAGACGUGCACAGCCCUCAGAGGAAGUGGAGCACCAGAUGUUCUGGGUUUCCUGUUCGACGCUUCCACAGCUGGUCGAGUCUGUGGUUGUGGUUUGUCUGUCUCGGGCUCAUGUGAGAGACAAAAGCUGGGCUGACGGGAAACCUCUUCUCUCGGCCCCCACUCCCCAGCUCUGACUGAUUAGGAAACCUGGCAGGUCAGAAAUUUCCUGAAACACCCAGAGCUGGAUUCUCCCAAGAAGAAGCUGAACCCCCAACUCCCAUCCCUGAGGAGCAGCCCCUGGGCUGAUGAUCAGGACUUACAGAACCUGGGGCGAUGGAAACCUCUACAAAUAUCCCAUUUAGAAAGACCGCCAGCCCUGCCAACAGAAUGAAACGGAGGCCAGGUUGCUAUGGUCUCUACUCCAAUGCCUGACAUUGAGCCGCUGCUGCAAAACACUCAGCACAUGAAGGAAUGAAUGAGGAACAGAGAACUUCACCUUUGGGGGUUGGGUGUACAAGCCCCAACUGGGCCCCAAGUCCCAUAAAUAGCUUUGGAUUCCAACAUACAAGCAUUUGACGCAGCGAGGUGCUGCCGACUUGCUCUGUGACUUGGAGCAAGUCAUUUAGCCUCUCUGGGCCUGGUGUCCUCAUCUGCAGAAUGGAGAUGAUAAUAUCUACUUCACAAAGGUGUGAAGGCCCUGUGAGACACCGCAUGUGGAUUUCCUCGACAUUGUUUGCCCAUCGUAACUGCUCCAGAGAGGCUGGGCUCCCUUUUCUCGUUGCAACACUGCUGUUUAUUUCAGGAGAUACUCUAAAAGGGAAGCAAGCUAAAACAAAGAACAACCAAAAACACUGAUCCCGGGACAACUGCCCGGCAGGACAGCAGAGCAAGGGUACUUGGUGCUCUUCGUUGGGGGGAUGUUGGGAGAAGGGGCUGGAGCCAUCCCAGGGUCUCCAGGCUCUGGAAGGGAGCACCCCAUGUCCUCCUCUGGGUGUGGAAUAGGCAGGUCGGCAGGCAGUUGCAGUUCUCUUCCACAGACUCACUCAGGGACCCAGGCUGACGGAAGUUCCAUCAGCUGUAGCUGCACCAUCUGGGACACACGGCCUCCAUGGCUGCGGCAGCUGGGAAACAGACCCUGGAGAAGGGCGCACCAGCUUUUUACUGCCUCAGCCUGGAAAUGACACGUAUCACUUCUGCUCAAUUUCAUCGGCCAAAGCUAGCCAUAUGGCACAGCUGGGAAACCCAGGGGAGUCAACGGUCUGUGUAGUGAACAUUAUUGUUUCUGCCACAGAAAACUUCCAAGAGUAGGGAGAUGAGAGAGCUUGCGGUUCAGAUUUCCAGUUUGGGCACAAAGACGGAUGUCUCCUAGAGAGAAAGGGAUGGGAGAGUCCUCUGUGGAGUGGCUUCUGUUCCCUACAUCCCAGAGAGGCUCAGCUUUUCUGGCCGAUGGAGUGCAGUUUUAUUUGUUUGAGAAUAUGUUUUGUUUUCUUCCUUUUUCUCGUUCUUGCUUACCCUCAAAACAUGGGAAGAAAAGCUGUCUGACUCAAACAGCCAGCAGUCUGGUCCGGGCCCCCUAAGAUGGAGAGGCGCCAUUUCCCAGCAGGCCAAGAAAUGCCCCGGGAGCUCCAAGGGUUCUGUGGGUCCCGGGAUGAGAGGCUGACACAGCCAAGAAGACCCAGGGUGAGGCUGAGCGGAGGCUGAGGCGGCAUGCCUGGCCGCCCACACUGCCAUCCGUCCUAGCGCUCUGUGCAGAGCACGGCUGAAAACUCCCCAGGUAUCUUUGGAAAUGAAGAACACUGGGUUGGCACCCGGCAAUUUGGGACAGCAGCUUUUCUGGAGCGCACAGCUUGGGAAUAAGCCUGAAGAAAUCUUUCAUUCCUAGAGCGUUGGUGGAUAAAUGGUACUUAUUUGUUUAACCUCAAAUCAAGCCGCAGCCCCCAUUUCUGGGGCUGCUUUGCGAGGGUUGUUUUAAAAUAGCUGAACAAGCUGAAAAUCACGGGUCUAGGUUGCUGGAAUGGCUUUGCAGAGAGCAGC